CAGGUUGGUUGGGCGAUCGCAAAAGGAAACCCUUUUGAGGAAAGUCCGCACUCCAUAGAGCAUGGCGCCGGGUAACACCCGGGGCGGAGCAAUCUGCCGGACCGGGCCACAGAAACAGACUGCCAGUAAAUCCUCGAUUUACCGGUGAUGGUGAAAAGGUAGUGUAAGAGACUACCGGCGCAAAUAGCAAUAUUUGCGGCCAGGCAACCCCUGCCAGGAGCAAGGCCAAGCAGGAAUAUAGAGAUUGCUCGUCUCGUUUAAAUUCCGGGUAGGCCGCAAGAGUGAUUGGGCAACCAAUCUCCCAGAUAGAUGUUCGCACAUGCCAUCUACAUGGCAAGACAGAAUGCGGCUUAUAGACNNAGACAGAAUGCGGCUUAUAAACCAACCUGGGGA
rnacentral:RNase_P_RNA from 2 species